GAUUGAGUUGGUAAGGGGUUUUAUAGUAAUUUCGCAUUGAAGGUUAUCUUCUAAGCUCUCAGCUCGACUCCCCCAGCUGAUAUUAGAAUGCUGGAGCUUGAGGAACAGGCUGGUUUGGAGAGGCUUGGAGCAGCUAUAGAAGUGUGGAAAGAAGUGUUUUGAUAGUGAUUCUUCAGCCCUAACUCAGUUGGAUUUGGUGUACUCCAACCUGAGUUAAGUGGAGAUUUAAUCUUGGUUCUAAACUAGGGUGCUUGGAGACUAAAGAAUACCUUCGCUCGCGGGAUCGACAAGAGUCGACAACCAUUCGAUGGGUUUAUUCUUACCAAAAUGGACGAAUUCUCUCUAUAUCUUCUUUGACAUUAUGAAAUUGGAAUAGUUGCAUGUUCAUAUGAAUAUAUGUUUGAAUGGAUUGGUGCAUGCAUAAAUAUGCGUAUUAUGUCGGAUAAAAAUAAACUUCUAUGUAGUAGAGAAAGGAUUAUGAAAUUGUUUAGCAUACAUAGAUUACUUACUCGUUUAGUAUGCAUUACAUGAUAUUAGCAAACUUGUAUAGACAAGUUAAGUAUGACAUCAUUCAAUAGUGAAUGGAUGUAAAGCUAUGAAUAUGACACUUAGUUUAGAUGCACAAUUAAGUGAAUGAUGUUAUUAUAGUGCUUAA